GAUGAACGCUGGCGGCGUGCCUAAUACAUGCAAGUCGAACGAAACUUCUUUAUCACCGAGUGCUUGCACUCACCGAUAAAGAGUUGAGUGGCGAACGGGUGAGUAACACGUGGGCAACCUGCCCACAAGAGGGGGAUAACACUUGUACACAGGUGCUAAUACCGCAUAACCAUAGUUACCGCAUGGCAUCUAUGUAAAAGAUGGCUAUACUACCGCUUUUGGAUGGGCCCGCGUCGCAUUAGCCAGUUGGUAGGGUAAAGGCUUACCAAGGCAAUGAUGCGUAGCCGAAUUGAGAGGUUGAUCGGCCACAUUGGGACUGAGACACGGCCCAAACUCCUACGGGAGGCAGCAGUAGGGAAUCUUCCACAAUGGGCGAAAGCCUGAUGGAGCAACGCCGCGUGGGUGAAGAAGGUCUUCGGAUCGUAAAACCCUGUUGUUAGGGAAGAAAGUGCGUGGGAGUAACUGUUCACGUUUCGACGGUAUCUAACCGGAAAGCCACGGCUAACUACGUG
rnacentral:rRNA from 1 species